UUGUGCUUAACUGAAUUUUAUAAAGCUGAUCGAUAUCUUGGUAAAAUAUUCAUUUUUAAACUAGCGGGCAGCGAAAUCUUUGCUUUGUGCUAAAGUCAACAGUCGCAGAGUUUCAGCUCCAAUAAAUGCCGGGAUGCUCCCAGCUCCCGCAGAGCCGGGCCGGCGGCUGGGGCGCAGAAAUAGUCCUAAUCCUAUAUUUCGGCCGGAGAAAGUCCGCUUCGGCUCCGCACUAGACUAAUCCAGAAACCACAUAAAACCAGGAGCUGUAUUCUGUGGAACACCCCGA